AAGUGCCCAACAUAUUACACAAAUAAUACAAACCUAAUCAAAAGCUGCAGGUGUUUCAUGUUUUCCUUCAAUUCAUAGGCCAUAGAGUCUUAUCUCUAAGCUUUAACAGCCAAAAUACUGGAACCACACUUUCUCUCUAUUAUUUAUUACUCUCUGCUGUGGAACUACAGGUUUUCUCUACUGACAGACUGGGGCUCAUGCUGCACUGAGCACUACAAGAGCAGCAGACUCUCUUCAUCCUAUGAGUUUAUUACAUAAAGGCGACAGGAGGCAAUGGUCAUCAAAAAUGGAGGGCAAAAGAAGAAAUAAGAUGAAUGAGUCACGGUCAACAGUGGUGCUGCCGUAUUCCCACAUCAUGGCUUUUGGAAGAGGCUUUUUGCGGGGACCCCAACUGGAUGCAGGCUGCUGGGUGGACCUGGAUGAGAGCCUGUGGCUGCUCAGGUGCUUGCAGACAGCUGAAGGCUGCAGGAUAUGGGUCACUGAUAACCCAACUGAUCAACUGAUGGUUUGUCUUCAGAAAAAGCAAUCCUUUUUGCGUGUCACGAUUGUGCAUUAUGUUCCAUAC
rnacentral:lncRNA from 1 species